rnacentral:rRNA from 1 species
AGCAGCCGCGGUAAUUCCAGCUCCAAUAGCGUAUAUUAAAGUUGUUGCAGUUAAAAAGCUCGUAGUUGAAUUUCGGAAUCUGUCCGUCGGUCGGGCUUCAUUGUCCGUACUGGCGUGGUGGGUUCUUACCUUCUGAAUAACCAGCAUGCCAUUCACUUGGUGCGCUGGGGAAGCAGGACUAUUACCUUGAAAAAAUUAGAGUGCUCAAAGCAGGCCAGUGCCUGAAUACAUUAGCAUGGAAUAAUAAAAUAGGACGGCAUGGUUCUAUUUUGUUGGUUUCUAGGAUCACCGUAAUGAUUAAUAGGGAUAGUUGGGGGCAUUAGUAUUCAAUUGUCAGAGGUGAAAUUCUUGGAUUUAUUGAAGACUAACUUCUGCGAAAGCAUUUGCCAAGGAUGUUUUCAUUAAUCAAGAACGAAAGUUAGGGGAUCGAAGGCGAUCAGAUACCGUCGU